AAGUCGUACGCUUCUUUUUCCCCGGCAGCUUGCUCCACCGGAAAAAGAAGAGUGGCGAACGGGUGAGUAACACGUGGGUAACCUGCCCAUCAGAAGGGGAUAACACUUGGAAACAGGUGCUAAUACCGUAUAACAAUCGAAACCGCAUGGUUUUGAUUUGAAAGGCGCUUUCGGGUGUCGCUGAUGGAUGGACCCGCGGUGCAUUAGCUAGUUGGUGAGGUAACGGCUCACCAAGGCCACGAUGCAUAGCCGACCUGAGAGGGUGAUCGGCCACAUUGGGACUGAGACACGGCCCAAACUCCUACGGGAGGCAGCAGUAGGGAAUCUUCGGCAAUGGACGAAAGUCUGACCGAGCAACGCCGCGUGAGUGAAGAAGGUUUUCGGAUCGUAAAACUCUGUUGUUAGAGAAGAACAAGGAUGAGAGUAACUGUUCAUCCCUUGACGGUAUCUAACCAGAAAGCCACGGCUAACUACGUGCCAGCAGCCGCGGUAAUACGUAGGUGGCAAGCGUUGUCCGGAUUUAUUGGGCGUAAAGCGAGCGCAGGCGGUUUCUUAAGUCUGAUGUGAAAGCCCCCGGCUCAACCGGGGAGGGUCAUUGGAAACUGGGAGACUUGAGUGCAGAAGAGGAGAGUGGAAUUCCAUGUGUAGCGGUGAAAUGCGUAGAUAUAUGGAGGAACACCAGUGGCGAAGGCGGCUCUCUGGUCUGUAACUGACGCUGAGGCUCGAAAGCGUGGGGAGCAAACAGGAUUAGAUACCCUGGUAGUCCACGCCGUAAACGAUGAGUGCUAAGUGUUGGAGGGUUUCCGCCCUUCAGUGCUGCAGCUAACGCAUUAAGCACUCCGCCUGGGGAGUACGACCGCAAGGUUGAAACUCAAAGGAAUUGACGGGGGCCCGCACAAGCGGUGGAGCAUGUGGUUUAAUUCGAAGCAACGCGAAGAACCUUACCAGGUCUUGACAUCCUUUGACCACUCUAGAGAUAGAGCUUCCCCUUCGGGGGCAAAGUGACAGGUGGUGCAUGGUUGUCGUCAGCUCGUGUCGUGAGAUGUUGGGUUAAGUCCCGCAACGAGCGCAACCCUUAUUGUUAGUUGCCAUCAUUCAGUUGGGCACUCUAGCAAGACUGCCGGUGACAAACCGGAGGAAGGUGGGGAUGACGUCAAAUCAUCAUGCCCCUUAUGACCUGGGCUACACACGUGCUACAAUGGGAAGUACAACGAGUCGCGAAGUCGCGAGGCUAAGCUAAUCUCUUAAAGCUUCUCUCAGUUCGGAUUGUAGGCUGCAACUCGCCUACAUGAAGCCGGAAUCGCUAGUAAUCGCGGAUCAGCACGCCGCGGUGAAUACGUUCCCGGGCCUUGUACACACC
rnacentral:rRNA from 1 species